rnacentral:rRNA from 1 species
GACGAACGCUGGCGGCGUGCCUAAUACAUGCAAGUCGAACGCAGUGGGAACGAGUGAGUAACACGUGGGUAACCUCCCAUCAGAGGGGAUAACACUUGGAAACAGAUGCUAAAGCGUUACUGAUGGGUGGACCCGCGGUGCAUUAGCUAGUUGGUGGGGUAACGGCUCAACAAGGCCACGAUGCAUAGCGGACCUGAGAGGGUGAUCGGCCAAACUGGGACUGAGACACGCCCCAGACUCCUCCGGGAGGAAGCAUGAGGGAAUCUUCGGCAAUGGACGAAAGUCGGACCGAGAAACGCGGCGUGAGUGAAGAAGGUUUUCGGAUCGUAAAACUCUGUUGUUAGAGAAGCGGUAUCUAACCAGAAAGCCACGGCUAACUACGUGCCAGCAGCCGCGGUAAUAC